UACGAAGGGGGCUAGCGUUGUUCGGAAUUACUGGGCGUAAAGGGCGCGUAGGCGGUGAUCUUUGUCAGAGGUGAAAGCCCGGGGCUCAACUCCGGAAUUGCCUUUGAAACGGGAUUGCUUGAGUCCGAGAGAGGAUGGCGGAAUUCCUAGUGUAGAGGUGAAAUUCGUAGAUAUUAGGAAGAACACCGGUGGCGAAGGCGGCCAUCUGGCUCGGUACUGACGCUGAUGCGCGAAAGCGUGGGGAGCAAACAGG
rnacentral:rRNA from 1 species